rnacentral:pre_miRNA from 1 species
UCCUGCUCCCUGAGACCCUAACUUGUGAGCUCUCUCCAUGAAAAAUCACGGGUUAGGCUCUUGGGACGCGGG